rnacentral:tRNA from 1 species
UCCCUGGUGGCUCAGAGGUUAAAGCAUCUGCCUGCAAUGUGGGAGACCUGGGUUCGAUCCCCGGCUCGGGAA